rnacentral:rRNA from 1 species
GACGAACGCUGGCGGCGUGCUUAACACAUGCCAGUCGAACGGAAAGGCCCUGCUUUUGUGGGGUGCUCGAGUGGCGAACGGGUGAGUAACACGUGAGUAACCUGCCCUUGACUUUGGGAUAACUUCAGGAAACUGGGGCUACUACCGGAUAGGAGCUCCUGCUGCAUGGUGGGGGUUGGAAAGUUUCGGCGGUUGGGGAUGGACUCGCGGCUUAUCAGCUUGUUGGUGGGGUAGUGGCUUACCAAGGCUUUGACGGGUAGCCGGCCUGAGAGGGUGACCGGCCACAUUGGGACUGAGAUACGGCCCAGACGCCUACGGGAGGCAGCAGUGGGGAAUAUUGCACAAUGGGCGGAAGCCUGAUGCAGCAACGCCGCGUGCGGGAUGACGGCCUUCGGGUUGUAAACCGCUUUCGCCUGUGACGAAGCGUGAGUGACGGUAAUGGGUAAAGAAGCACCGGCUAACUACGUG